rnacentral:rRNA from 1 species
AGUGAACGCUGGCGGUAGGCCUAACACAUGCAAGUCGAACGGCAGCACAGUAAGCGCUUGCUCUUACGGGUGGCGAGUGGCGGACGGGUGAGGAAUACAUCGGAAUCUACUUUUUCGUGGGGGAUAACGUAGGGAAACUUACGCUACUACCUCAUACGACCUACGGGUUAAAGCAGGGGAUCUUCGGACCUUGCGCGAUUGAAUGAGCCGAUGUCGAAUUAGCUAGUUGGCGGGGUAAAGGCCCACCAAGGCGACGAUCCGUAGCUGGUCUGAGAGGAUGAUCAGCAAAACUGGAACUGAGACACGGUCCAGACUCCUACGGGAGGCAGCAGUGGGGAAUAUUGGACAAUGGGGGCAAGCCUGAUCAGCCAUACCGCGUGAGUGAAGAAGGCCUUCGGGUUGUAAAGCCCUGUUGUUGGGAAAGAAAAGCAGAAGGUUAAUACCCCGCUGUUCUGACGGUACCCGAAGAAUAAGCACCGGCUAACUUCGUG